rnacentral:rRNA from 1 species
UACAGAGGUCUCAAGCGUUGUUCGGAUUCAUUGGGCGUAAAGGGUGCGUAGGUGGCGGGGCAAGUCAGGUGUGAAAUCUCGGGGCUCAACCCCGAAACUGCACUUGAUACUGCUUUGCUCGAGUACUGGAGAGGAGACUGGAAUUUACGGUGUAGCAGUGAAAUGCGUAGAUAUCAAGUGGAACACCAGUGGCGAAGGCGAGUCCCUGGACAACUCCUGACACUGAGACGCGAAAGCGUGGGGAGCGAACAGG